AUGCAGUUAUGCUUAUAUGAAUUGUCUGUAUGUGGGAGUCCAAGAGAUCAUGGGGAUCUACCAAGUGGGGACGUGCCAAUUGUCAGCCACUCAUCCAUUAUUUGUCAGUCACCGCAGCAAAAGGACAUGAGAGGCACUCGUCGACCUCUACCCUGCAACAUACGUCAACUUGGUCCCAGCCACAAUGUUCAACCAACCGUAGCUAGCUGGGCCAACUUGCCUAUUCUUGGCUCAAUCUCUGGGGGGGUGUUUUCUUGUAAUAUUUGUAGGUUGUAUGUGUUAAAUCUAGUUAAGUACUUUGUGUCCCUAGUCGUUUCUAAGGUUUACAAUUAG
rnacentral:rRNA from 1 species